rnacentral:rRNA from 1 species
UACGUAGGGUGCGAGCGUUGUCCGGAAUUAUUGGGCGUAAAGAGCUCGUAGGCGGUGUGUCACGUCGGCCGUGAAAACCUGCAGCUUAACUGUGGGCGUGCGGUCGAUACGGGCAUCACUGGAGUUCGGCAGGGGAGACUGGAAUUCCUGGUGUAGCGGUGGAAUGCGCAGAUAUCAGGAGGAACACCGAUGGCGAAGGCAAUCCCCUGGGCCUGCACUGACGCUCAUGCACGAAAGCGUGGGGAGCAAACAGG